GACGAACGCUGGCGGCGUGCUUAACACAUGCAAGUCGAACGAUGAAGCCUAGCUUGCUGGGUGGAUUAGUGGCGAACAGGUGAGUAACACGUGAGUAACCUGCCCUGGACUCUGGGAUAAGCGUUGGAAACGACGUCUAAUACCGGAUAGGACCUUUCACCGCAUGGUGGGGGGUGGAAAGUUUUUUCGGUUUGGGAUGGACUCGCGGCCUAUCAGCUUGUUGGUGAGGUAAUGGCUCACCAAGGCGUCGACGGGUAGCCGGCCUGAGAGGGUGACCGGCCACACUGGGACUGAGACACGGCCCAGACUCCUACGGGAGGCAGCAGUGGGGAAUAUUGCACAAUGGGCGCAAGCCUGAUGCAGCAACGCCGCGUGCGGGAUGACGGCCUUCGGGUUGUAAACCGCUUUUAGUAAGGAAGAAGCCUUCAGGUGACGGUACUUGCAGAAAAAGGACCGGCUAACUACGUGCCAGCAGCCGCCGUAACAC
rnacentral:rRNA from 1 species